rnacentral:rRNA from 1 species
AUUGAACGCUGGCGGCAGGCCUAACACAUGCAAGUCGAGCGAGCGGCGGACGGGUGAGUAAUGUCUGGGAAACUGCCUGAUGGAGGGGGAUAACUACUGGAAACGGUAGCUAAUACCGCAUACCAUCAGAUGUGCCCAGAUGGGAUUAGCUAGUAGGUGGGGUAACGGCUCACCUCGGCGACGAUCCCUAGCUGGUCUGAGAGGAUGACCAGCCACACUGGAACUGAGACACGGUCCAGACUCCGACGGGAGGCAGCAGUGGGGAAUAUUGCACAAGGGGCGCAAGCCUGAUGCAGCCAUGCCGCGUGUGUGAAGAAGGCCUUCGGGUUGUAAAGUUCUUUCGGUAGCGAGGCGUUAACUACAGAAGAAGCACCGGCUAACUCCGUGCCAGCAGCCGCGGUAAUUC